ensembl:lncRNA
UUCUCUGCCAAGGUCAUUACCUCCAGAUGGAGAGUUACCAGCUCUACCUCUGGCCCUGACCUGGCUCCAGACCCUCGGCUCCACUGCCUGGCGGCCAUCACCACAGCACAUUCCCCAAGUCACUGCAGCGCCGGUGGCCCCAGCUGGACUCUCCUUUCCAACCUCACCUCCUCGACGCUAACUAAUUUCUGGGACUUGAACCCUGCUGUCUUCCAGGAGUCCACGUUGGAAUUCCAUCUUUGACCUUUGAUGAGGCUUCGCUCCCCUCUUCCGAGUGAGAAUAGUGACAAGUGCAGUUUUCUGCUCAUUCAUUCAUUCAUUCAUUCCACACACAGGCAUUGGGAGCCUGCCACAGGCCACACACUUGCAGGGGCUAGGAAUCCCGGCAAUGCAAGCAAAGCAGAAACUGUCAUUCUUGCCAGAAUGAAAUCCUUGCUCUUCUGACGGCAAACAAAUCAUCAGCAUAAAUGACCACAGUGUAUGAUGUGUGAAACCUUGAUGAAGCCUGGGAGAGAAAGGGGUCGGGUAGUACAGGAGGUGCAGCUGCAGACAGGGCAAGCGGGAGCAGAGCUCCAGCAGGAGAGAGUGAGCCAAGAGGCGGCCUGGGGAGAGGGUUCGGGCACUGGGCAGGAGUGGGGAGGGUGGCGACAUGAGUCGUCAUCUCCACGUGCGAGGGAAGGAGACGAGGAGAGAAUGGAACACAGAGGGCCAGGGCCGGGCUGGGGAGCGUGAGUGCCAGCGGUGGUGGACGGUCCUGAAAGCGGUGAGCUUGAGGCAGAGGAACCCAGGAAGGCCAAGGUGAGAGGCAGCCCGGAAAAGAGGCAUGGCCUGAGAGGUGGGCGGGGGGGAACAGGAGAGAAUGGGGUUCCAGGGAGGUGGGGGGAGUUAUUUAUGAAGGAGGAGCCCCCCAGGGUGGCAGUCACUGCUGGUGGGUCAGCAAGAUGGGGCUGGCCGAGGGGUAGGGGGUGGGCAGCAUCGGCGACCUCCACAGGCCAGGUCUGGGUGGGAUUCAUAAACAUAGAACAGGCUCACGGGAGAAGGGGAGGAGGAACAGCUUGGGCACCUGCCUUCUCAUGUCCCUGUCCACUGCCCCUCCACCUGUUUGCCUCUUACAACAGCCUUCUGACUAUACAGUACAUCCCAAGGUCCUGGGGCCCCCACCUGUAUACAUCAGGAGCUCAAACUGUCAUAACCCUGUGUCUGAGGCUUCCCACCCCCCUGCCUCUAAUAACUCAUCUGGGGUGGGGGCUGCCUCAGGGUCUUUCCCAGGUUCCUGCCCUGGAGUCUUUGCCUUUGUCAAGCUGGGAGCAGUGGGUGUGGCCGGGCACAUGGUCCCGGUGCAGCUUGACCCAACCUCUUUUUGAUGGCCAUGGAGUUCCUGCCCAGAGACAACUGUUGUCCAGUGCAGCCAACACAGAGAACACCGGGAUCCAGUGUGUGGGAUCCUGUCUAUCUGGCUUCCUGGACCUAGCAGGUGACUGGAAUGCAGGAGACAUCCAAUCCACAUGGACUGAAUUUUCUUCCAGCAUCUCAGAAGACCGCUCUGUACUCCCCCAAGGGUGCUGGAGCCCACAUGGAGCCCACCGCCCACGGCGUCAGGAGCACCACUCACUCAGUUCUAUGUGGGAUCUCUUGUGCCCACAGAAGGCCAUGAAGAUGGGGCCAGCACUGUGGUAUAGCGGGCGGCAGCAGAGGCCAGCACUGUGGCAUAGCAUCCCAUAUGGGUGUUGGUUUGUACCCCGGCUGCUCUACUACUUAUCCAGCUAA